UGAGGGCACGCCUGCCUGGGUGUC
rnacentral:rRNA from 1 species